UCCCCGAGGUUUGGAAGAACGUAGAAAUCUACUCAACUAAUGGCGGCGGCGGCAACGGCAUCGGCAGCGAGGAGAGGUGGUGGUGGGUUGUGGGAGGGGCUAUAUCGCGUUCUGAUGCGCCGCAAUUCCGUCUAUGUCACGUUCAUUGUCGCUGGAGCCUUUGUCGGAGAACGGGUCGUUGACUAUGGUGUUCACAGGCUUUGGGAAUACAAUAAUGUUGGGAAGAGAUACGAAGAUAUUCCAGUAUUGGGACAAAGGCAGUCAGAAUGAUAUCCAUACUGAAUCAAUUCUUUUUCAAAUACGCAGAACAGGUUCACCUCCAUCAAGCCGAUUUCCUUUGGAGCCAGCAUUGCCUCUCGCUGCAAAUGAGUCUGAGAUGCCAGAGAAAUCAGCACCACUUUGGUUAGGCCGACACAACAUCUGUGUCCUUAACUGAGGGUCGUUUGAAACCCUCAUUGAGCUAUAUGUCCGGCUCGAAGCAUGACUGAGUGGUUCUUGGCUCCUCUUCGUCCAUGUAGAAUCAAAUGCAUUAGGGUGCAUGCCAGCAUGAGAGAAGACAUUGUGUAAUGGUCCUCCAGUGGGUUCUACACAAUAUUUUGAACGAAGGAGAAGUGUCAGCUUUAGGCCUAAAAAAUGUGAACCGGAGCCUAACUAGUGCCUGGUUAGCCUUAUCAUGCUGAAAGAUGUAAAAGAAAGAAGAGUUAGAAGUAGAUCAUCAAAUGCGUGAAUGCGAUAUUACCUGCACUUCUGGGGCUGGCGUUGCUCUUGAAUCCCAGUUGUGUGUUCUGACAGAUUCAGAUGAUCGUUCAGCUGCUCUGUCUGUAAAACUUCAAAAAUGAAUCAUGCUUGUAUUUUCACUUAGUACAAACAGAAGAGAUUUAACUAUUC